rnacentral:rRNA from 1 species
GACGUAGGGGGCCAGCGUUGCUCGGAAUUACUGGGCGUAAAGGGCUCGUAGGUGGCCAACUAAGUCAGACGUGAAAUCCCUCGGCUUAACCGGGGAACUGCGUCUGAUACUGGAUGGCUUGAGAUUGGGAGAGGGAUGCGGAAUUCCAGGUGUAGCGGUGAAAUGCGUAGAUAUCUGGAGGAACACCGGUGGCGAAGGCGGCAUCCUGGACCAACACUGACACUGAGGAGCGAAAGCCAGGGGAGCAAACGGG